AUAAUGGGUCAGCGACUUAUAUUCUGUAGCAAGGUUAACCGAAUAGGGGAGCCGAAGGGAAACCGAGUCUUAACUGGGCGUUAAGUUGCAGGGUAUAGACCCGAAACCCGGUGAUCUAGCCAUGGGCAGGUUGAAGGUUGGGUAACACUAACUGGAGGACCGAACCGACUAAUGUUGAAAAAUUAGCGGAUGACUUGUGGCUGGGGGUGAAAGGCCAAUCAAACCGGGAGAUAGCUGGUUCUCCCCGAAAGCUAUUUAGGUAGCGCCUCGUGAAUUCAUCUCCGGGGGUAGAGCACUGUUUCGGCAAGGGGGUCAUCCCGACUUACCAACCCGAUGCAAACUGCGAAUACCGGAGAAUGUUAUCACGGGAGACACACGGCGGGUGCUAACGUCCGUCGUGAAGAGGGAAACAACCCAGACCGCCAGCUAAGGUCCCAAAGUCAUGGUUAAGUGGGAAACGAUGUGGGAAGGCCCAGACAGCCAGGAUGUUGGCUUAGAAGCAGCCAUCAUUUAAAGAAAGCGUAAUAGCUCACUGGUCGAGUCGGCCUGCGCGGAAGAUGUAACGGGGCUAAACCAUGCACCGAAGCUGCGGCAGCGACGCUGAUGCGUUGUUGGGUAGGGGAGCGUUCUGUAAGCCUGUGAAGGUGUGCUGUGAGGCAUGCUGGAGGUAUCAGAAGUGCGAAUGCUGACAUAAGUAACGAUAAAGCGGGUGAAAAGCCCGCUCGCCGGAAGACCAAAGGUUCCUGUCCAACGUUAAUCGGGGCAGGGUGAGUCGACCCCUAAGGCGAGGCCGAAAGGCGUAGUCGAUGGGAAACAGGUUAAUAUUCCUGUACUUGGUGUUACUGCGAAGGGGGGACGGAGAAGGCUAUGUUGGCCGGGCGACGGUUGUCCCGGUUUAAGCGUGUAGGCUGGUUUUCCAGGCAAAUCCGGAAAACUAAGGCUGAGGCGUGAUGACGAGGCACUACGGUGCUGAAGCAACAAAUGCCCUGCUUCCAGGAAAAGCCUCUAAGCAUCAGGUAACAUCAAAUCGUACCCCAAACCGACACAGGUGGUCAGGUAGAGAAUACCAAGGCGCUUGAGAGAACUCGGGUGAAGGAACUAGGCAAAAUGGUGCCGUAACUUCGGGAGAAGGCACGCUGAUAUGUAGGUGAAGUCCCUCGCGGAUGGAGCUGAAAUCAGUCGAAGAUACCAGCUGGCUGCAACUGUUUAUUAAAAACACAGCACUGUGCAAACACGAAAGUGGACGUAUACGGUGUGACGCCUGCCCGGUGCCGGAAGGUUAAUUGAUGGGGUCAGCGCAAGCGAAGCUCUUGAUCGAAGCCCCGGUAAACGGCGGCCGUAACUAUAACGGUCCUAAGGUAGCGAAAUUCCUUGUCGGGUAAGUUCCGACCUGCACGAAUGGCGUAAUGAUGGCCAGGCUGUCUCCACCCGAGACUCAGUGAAAUUGAACUCGCUGUGAAGAUGCAGUGUACCCGCGGCAAGACGGAAAGACCCCGUGAACCUUUACUAUAGCUUGACACUGAACAUUGAGCCUUGAUGUGUAGGAUAGGUGGGAGGCUUUGAAGUGUGGACGCCAGUCUGCAUGGAGCCGACCUUGAAAUACCACCCUUUAAUGUUUGAUGUUCUAACGUUGACCCGUAAUCCGGGUUGCGGACAGUGUCUGGUGGGUAGUUUGACUGGGGCGGUCUCCUCCUAAAGAGUAACGGAGGAGCACGAAGGUUGGCUAAUCCUGGUCGGACAUCAGGAGGUUAGUGCAAUGGCAUAAGCCAGCUUGACUGCGAGCGUGACGGCGCGAGCAGGUGCGAAAGCAGGUCAUAGUGAUCCGGUGGUUCUGAAUGGAAGGGCCAUCGCUCAACGGAUAAAAGGUACUCCGGGGAUAACAGGCUGAUACCGCCCAAGAGUUCAUAUCGACGGCGGUGUUUGGCACCUCGAUGUCGGCUCAUCACAUCCUGGGGCUGAAGUAGGUCCCAAGGGUAUGGCUGUUCGCCAUUUAAAGUGGUACGCGAGCUGGGUUUAGAACGUCGUGAGACAGUUCGGUCCCUAUCUGCCGUGGGCGCUGGAGAACUGAGGGGGGCUGCUCCUAGUACGAGAGGACCGGAGUGGACGCAUCACUGGUGUUCGGGUUGUCAUGCCAAUGGCACUGCCCGGUAGCUAAAUGCGGAAGAGAUAAGUGCUGAAAGCAUCUAAGCACGAAACUUGCCCCGAGAUGAGUUCUCCCUGACUCCUUGAGAGUCCUGAAGGAACGUUGAAG
rnacentral:rRNA from 1 species